rnacentral:lncRNA from 1 species
GGCUUACACAGACAGGCCACAAUAUGGAACAGAUGGUCUUCAGGGACGUGACCACGUUGAUGACCACUCUCUGAGAACCUCCUCAGCUCAACCCUGAGCUGCAGGACAGGAGUGCUGAGGUGCAGAGGCUCCAGAGGUCAUUGGCUGAGCUACAUGGGCGAGAGAUGGAGUGGGAGAGAGAGACAUCCGCCCUGCAGGGCCAGCUGGGCCUUGCCAGAGAGGAGCUCCACAGCGCCAUCCUCAGGAGGCAGGCACAGCAGCAGAAGGAAGAGCUGUUUGGUGAGCUGCAGAGGGAGGUGGACAGACUGAAGAAUGAGAGACAGGAGAUGCGAAAAAAGCUUUGUGGUAGAGAAGAGGAGCUGAAGAGGCUGAGAGACGAGCAGCAUCAGCUCAAGGACAAGGUGAGGGAGAGCGAUGUGCAGGCUGUGUGGCUGCAGAGCCAGGCAGACGUGGUGGGUCGGGAGCUGUGGGAGGAGAGUGCCCAGCGCGACAGGGAGCUGUGGGAGUGGAGGGACCGCUACCAUGCUGUCUCAGAGGGACUGAGGUUGAGGGAGGCUGGGCUUGAGGAGGUGCAGAGGGCCAGGGACACAGCCCUCAGAAGCCUGAGAUUACAGGAGGAGAAGACCCACAGUCUGGGGGCCCAGAGGCAGGAGAUGCAGCACAGCCUGGAGGGCCUACAGGACAGGCUUGCCCAGAAGGAGGAGAUGGUCGUGGCUCUCAGAGUGAAGCUGCAGGACCAUGAAGAAGACGCCCGUGUUCUCCGCCAACAGCUGCUCUCCUCCCAAGAUGCACUGCAGCAAGUUACUGCCGAGCUGAGGUCAUGUAAAAGAGAGAGGGAGAAGCAGGAUAGCCAGUGUGUGGAGACAGAGGAGAGACUGGCUGAGAUCAGAGCUGAUCUGGUCCAACUACAGCAGCAGUAUACCACCUGCUAUGCCCAGCUGGUCCAGGAGGAGGCUGGGGUGGGCAGGCUGAGGGAGGAGCUGCGACCUGAGCCAUGA